rnacentral:rRNA from 1 species
AAUGAACGAUGGCCGCAUGCCAAACACAUACAAGCCGAACGAAGGCUUCGGCCUUAGUGGCGCACGGGUGCGUUACGCGUGGGAAUCUGCCCUCAGGUUCGGAAUAACAGCGAGAAAUUGCUGCUAAUACCGGAUGAUAUCGCGAGAUCAAAGAUUUAUCGCCUGAGGAUGAGCCCGCGUAGGAUUAGCUAGUUGGUGUGGUAAAGGCGCACCAAGGCGACGAUCCUUAGCUGGUAUGAGCGGAUGAUCAGCCACACUGGGACUGAGACACGGCCGAGACUCCUACGGGAGGCAGCAGUGGGGAAUAUUAGACAAUGGGCGAAAGCCUGUUCCAGCAAUGCCGCGUGAGUGAUGAAGGCCUUAGGGUUAUAAAGCUCUUUUACCCGGGAUGAUAAUGACAGUACUGGGAGAAUAAGCUCCGGCUAACUCCGUGCCAGCCGCCGCAGUAA